CAAGUAGCUGUGAAAUUUCUUCUGAAGAAAACGCACAAGGAGGACGCAAGCUAAGCAGCUUUAGGAACUGAAAGGUUCAUGAGGCUGUAAGGAAGAGUCGAGUUGCUCCAGAUCCUGCGAGGAGGCGGCUACACACGUGCAGAAGUCAUGCUGGUGGCCUGGACUCCGAAGGGAGAGAAGUGGGUUUGAGAGACAUUUAGGAGGUAGGAUUGCCAGGGCCUUGGUGAUAGCUUGGAUGUGGAGGGCGGAGCAGGAGGGGUGUCAAGCAGAUAUUGCUCUUAGAUUACCACCUGGGAUAUUAGGGAGAGUGAGUGGGCUGGUUUUUCUUUGUUAGGCAGAACUUGAUUUUGUGGUGCAGUGGGGCGCCUCAAACCAAAGGCCUGACUUCCUCGUAC
rnacentral:lncRNA from 1 species